UGUAGGAGGACAAUACCAUGAGUUGCUGCAAUAAUUGCAACUUUGGCCAGGGGCGUCGGCAAUUCCUGGCUCUGUCAAGCACAUAUCAAGAGGAUCAACAGGGGAAGCCUCAGUACAUGCUCAGAAGGUAACGUUACAUGACACGAAAGUAGUGAAAACUUAAUGAAAACCAUUGUAAAAAGUUUAAAGAAAUUCUCCAAAAAAUAAUAAUGAGUUAAGUGACCCAGCAGGUGUGAGUUAUGCUCAUAAUCCUGUCGCACUUAUCCCUUCUGUUUCUUUUGCUUAGCACAAUAAUAAGAGGCCUUGCUUAGCACAAUAAUAAGAGGCCACGCAGCGUGAGUGUGUUCACGAUUUGGCAGUAUUAUUUGAGGCUUCCCCUCAACUCUAGUUUCCUUUCGGUCGGAUGUAAGCGGCCCGCUCCAUGAAGGCAGUGUAGUAAAAAGUUUGAACUUGAAAGGUCAUUUGUUCAAUGC